CUAGGGUGUUUUGAAGGUUUACAUUCGUUUGACUGAAUUAUACACUACCGUAGAAUUCUACACCAUGUGGUGGACUUAAGUAUCUUAGUGACUUCAUUUGAUGUGUGUAUUUCUGUUAAUUUUAAGCUUCUGUUGCUCUGAAAAUGUACCUCACUGACCGUUUGUCUAUUUAUUGUGUACUUCUUGCAUGAGGAUGUGACUAGUGAUGCGGCGCGCCAAGAAGUAGUAGGGGAAGGGGGUCUCCUGCUCGAGGAGGUGGAGUAGGGGCGUGCCCAGCUAGCAGCCUUGUACUGCUCGUGGGGGAGGGGCAGGAGGGGUCUGCUCCCCUGCUUCCAUUGCGACCGCGGCAGGAGCAACGUUGCUGAUGGCGAUGGGUACGUGAUGGUGGCUGGUAUGGUGGACGACCCAGAAUAUGUGGCCUCGCAAGUGCACAUGUCGUAGCUUUCCUCCUCAAAUGCUUCUGUUUCUGCCUCAGCUACUAAGCCAAUAAACACCAAAUCUGGAAUGAGAAAGAGGAUGAGGCCUACUUGAUUGGUGUUUUAACCAUUUUGUUUGUUCAUGUUGUGUGCAUUGAUUCCCAUGAACUAUAACCUGAUUUGAUGCCACCUUGUCUUUUUUCAACUUGCAA